rnacentral:rRNA from 1 species
GACGAACGCUGGCGGCGUGCCUAAUACAUGCAAGUUGAGCGCUGAAGGUUGGUACUUGUACCAACUGGAUGAGCAGCGAACGGGUGAGUAACGCGUGGGGAAUCUGCCUUUGAGCGGGGGACAACAUUUGGAAACGAAUGCUAAUACCGCAUAAAAACUUUAAACACAAGUUUUAAGUUUGAAAGAUGCAAUUGCAUCACUCAAAGAUGAUCCCGCGUUGUAUUAGCUAGUUGGUGAGGUAAAGGCUCACCAAGGCGAUGAUACAUAGCCGACCUGAGAGGGUGAUCGGCCACAUUGGGACUGGGACACGGCCCAAACUCCUACGGGAAGCAGCAGUAGGGAAUCUUCGGCAAUAGACGAAAGUCUGACCGAGCAACGCCGCGUGAGUGAAGAAGGGUUUCGGAUCGUAAAACUCUGUUGGUAGAGAAGAACGUUGGUGAGAGUGGAAAGCUCAUCAAGUGACGGUAACUACCCAGAAAGGGACGGCUAACUACGUG